UCAUAUUUGUGCUCCUUCACGGGAGGGCAGGGAGGUUCAACGGACCUUAAAACAUGAAGGUCUUUUUUCUGUUUGCUGUUCUCUUUUGUUUGGUCCAAACAAACUCAGGGGAUGUUCCACUGGGAAUUAGAAAUACCAUCUGCCGUAUGCAGCAAGGGAUCUGCAGACUUUUUUUCUGCCAUUCUGGUGAGAAAAAGCGUGACAUUAGCUCUGAUCCCUGGAAUAGGUGUUGCGUAUCAAAUACAGAUGAAGAAGGAAAAGAGAAACCAGAGAUGGAUGGCAGAUCUGGGAUCUAAAAUAUAAGCUCCCGGAAGGCAGGGAUGUUGAAGUAUCCCAAGGGCUUAAAGGAAUGUGUGGCUUAUAGUAGGUGUUCAAUAAAUAUUUGUUGAAUGAAUUUAGCACCAAAGGUGAAGAGCUGAUAAAAGACAUUUUUUUAACUUCCUUA
rnacentral:lncRNA from 10 species